ensembl:snRNA U2 U2 spliceosomal RNA
AUCGCUUCUCGGCCUUUUGGCUAAGAUCAAAUGUAGUACAACAGUACAUUGUUUAUUUUGGUUCUUUGUAUUUCAUGUUGGCUUCUGAGUCUUUUUUUCUAGCCAAAUACAUGGAGCUGCUUUCU